rnacentral:rRNA from 1 species
UACAGGGGGUGCAAACGUUGCUCGGAAUCAUUUGGCGUAAAGCGCACGUAGGCGGUUUGUUAUGUCGGAUGUGAAAGCCCUUGGCUCAACUGAGGAAGUGCAUCCGAAACUGGCAAGCUAGAGUACUAAAGAGGGUCGCGGAAUUCCCGGUGUAGAGGUGAAAUUCGUAGAUAUCGGGAGGAACACCGGUGGCGAAGGCGGCGACCUGGGUAGAUACUGACGCUGAGGUGCGAAAGCGUGGGGAGCAAACAGG